rnacentral:rRNA from 1 species
CCAUAUCGACGGCAUGGUUUGGCACCUCGAUGUCGGCUCGUCGCAUCCUGGGGCUGGAGUUGGUCCCAAGGGUUGGGCUGUUCGCCCAUUAAAGCGGUACGCGAGCUGGGUUCAGAACGUCGUGAGACAGUUCGGUCCCUAUCCGCUGCGCGCGCAGGAAAUUUGAGAAGACCUGUCCUUAGUACGAGAGGACCGGGACGGACGAACCUCUGGUAUGGCAGUUGUACCGCCAGGUGCACCGCUGCUUCGCUACGUUCGGAAGAGAUAACCGCUGAAAGCAUCUAAGCGGGAAGCUCGCUUCGAGAUGAGAUUUCCAUGCACCUAGUGUGUGAGAGGCCCCCAGCUAGACCACUGGGUUGAUAGGCCGGAGGUGGAAGCACGAACCAACGACGUGUGCAGCCGACCGGUACUAAUAAGCCGACAACUUACACCACACCCC